CUGAAUAGGGCGCUUAGUCAGAUGCUGCAGACCCGAAACGAAGUGAUCUAUCCAUGAGCAAGUUGAAGCUAGUGUAAGAACUAGUGGAGGACUGAACCCAUAGGCGUUGAAAAGCCCCGGGAUGACUUGUGGAUAGGGGUGAAAGGCCAAUCAAACUUCGUGAUAGCUGGUUCUCUCCGAAAUAUAUUUAGGUAUAGCGUUGUGUCGUAAUAUAAGGGGGUAGAGCACUGAAUGGGCUAGGGCAUACACCAAUGUACCAAACCCUAUCAAACUCCGAAUACCUUAUAUGUAAUCACAGCAGUCAGGCGGCGAGUGAUAAAAUCCGUCGUCAAGAGGGAAACAACCCAGACUACCAGCUAAGGUCCCUAAAUCUUACUUAAGUGGAAAACGAUGUGAAGUUACUUAAACAACCAGGAGGUUGGCUUAGAAGCAGCCAUCCUUUAAAGAAAGCGUAAUAGCUCACUGGUCUAGUGAUUUUGCGCGGAAAAUAUAACGGGGCUAAAGUAAGUACCGAAGCUGUAGACUUGCGCACAACUUAGAUUAUUUAAGUUUAGAAUAUGAGAAACUAAGUUAUAUGUUUAGUUAUAUUUUUACUGAUUUUUAUAGAGUAAAGAUAGAAAUAAAACUUAGUAAAAUCAGUAAAAAUAUUCUUAGACUAAAGUUAAGUAGUUUAAGUUGUGUGCAAGUGGUAGGAGAGCGUUCUAUUUGCGUCGAAGGUAUACCGGUAAGGAGUGCUGGAGCGAAUAGAAGUGAGCAUGCAGGCAUGAGUAGCGAUAAUUAAUGUGAGAAUCAUUAACGCCGUAAACCCAAGGUUUCCUACGCGAUGCUCGUCAUCGUAGGGUUAGUCGGGUCCUAAGUCGAGUCCGAAAGGGGUAGACGAUGGCAAAUUGGUUAAUAUUCCAAUACCAACAUUAGUGUGCGAUGGAAGGACGCUUAGGGCUAAGGGGGCUAGCGGAUGGAAGUGCUAGUCUAAGGUCGUAGGAGGUUAUACAGGCAAAUCCGUAUAACAAUACUCCGAGAACUGAAAGGCUUUUUGAAGUCUUCGGAUGGAUAGAAGAACCCCUGAUGCCAUCGAGCCAAGAAAAGUUUCUAAGUUUAGCUAAUGUUGCCCGUACCGUAAACCGACACAGGUGGGUGGGAUGAGUAUUCUAAGGCGCGUGGAAGAACUCUCUUUAAGGAACUCUGCAAAAUAGCACCGUAUCUUCGGUAUAAGGUGUGGUUCGCUUCGUAUUAGGAUUUACUCCGAAAGCGAAGAAACUUACAACAAAGAGUCCCUCCCGACUGUUUACCAAAAACACAGCACUCUGCUAACUCGUAAGAGGAUGUAUAGGGUGUGACGCCUGCCCGGUGCUCGAAGGUUAAUUGAUGGGGUUAGCAUUAGCGAAGCUCUUGAUCGAAGCCCGAGUAAACGGCGGCCGUAACUAUAACGGUCCUAAGGUAGCGAAAUUCCUUGUCGGUUAAAUACCGACCUGCAUGAAUGGCGUAACGAGAUGGGAGCUGUCUCAAAGAGGGAUCCAGUGAAAUUGUAGUGGAGGUGAAAAUUCCUCCUACCCGCGGCAAGACGGAAAGACCCCGUGGACCUUUACUACAGCUUGACACUGCUAUUUGGAUAAGAAUGUGCAGGAUAGGUGGGAGGCUUUGAGUAUAUGACGCCAGUUGUAUAUGAGCCAUUGUUGAGAUACCACUCUUUCUUAUUUGGGUAGCUAACCAGCUUGAGUUAUCCUCAAGUGGGACAAUGUCUGGUGGGUAGUUUGA
rnacentral:rRNA from 1 species